rnacentral:miRNA from 1 species
UCAAAAUGCUCUAUCGCCUAAAGUCUUUAGUGAUUUCCCUGACGGAACAGGGAAAUCACUGAAGACUUUUGGCGAUAUAUCAUUUUGUAUGGCAG